rnacentral:rRNA from 1 species
AUACGUAGGUGACAAGCGUUAUCCGGAUUUACUGGGUGUAAAGGGCGUGUAGGCGGUUUAGCAAGUCAGAAGUGAAAUUCCCGGGCUUAACUUGGGCGCUGCUUCUGAAACUGCUUUACUUGAGUGCUGGAGGGGAUAGCGGAAUUCCUAGUGGAGCGGUAAAAUGCGCAGAUAUUAGGAAGAACACCGGUGGCGAAGGCGGCUAUCUGGACAGUAACUGACGCUGAGGCGCGAAAGCGUGGGGAGCAAACAGGAUUAGAUACCCUGGUAGUCCACGCUGUAAACGAUGAUUACUAGGUGUGGGGGGACUGACCCCUUCCGUGCCGCAGUUAACACAAUAAGUAAUCCACCUGGGGAGUACGGCCGCAAGGUUGAAACUCAAAUGAAUUGACGGGG